UAGGGAAUAUUGCACAAUGGAGGAAACUCUGAUGCAGCGAUGCCGCGUGAGUGAAGAAGGCCCUUGGGUCGUAAAGCUCUUUUAUGGGGGAAGAUGAUGACGGUACCCCAGGAAUAAGCACCGGCUAACUACGUGCCAGCAGCCGCGGUAAUACGUAGGGUGCGAGCGUUGUUCGGAAUUACUGGGCGUAAAGGGCGCGCAGGCGGAGGUGCAAGUCGGAGGUGAAAGCCCGGGGCUCAACCCCGGAGGGUCUUUCGAAACUGCAUCUCUAGAGAGGGUCAGGGGCCGGCAGAAUUCCUGGUGUAGAGGUGAAAUUCGUAGAUAUCAGGAGGAAUACCGGUGGCGAAAGCGGCCGGCUGGGGCCACUCUGACGCUGAGGCGCGAAAGCGUGGGGAGCAAACAGG
rnacentral:rRNA from 1 species